GCUUGUAGCUUGUGUGUUGUUGUUUCCAGAUGUAAAAUAUUAUACGUAUUCUUUUAAAAUGAAAAUAACCAGUUAACAUUUUUCAGAGAAAGAUCGUAAGAGC